AGUGAACGCUGGCGGUAGGCCUAACACAUGCAAGUCGAACGGCAGCACAGUAAGAGCUUGCUCUUACGGGUGGCGAGUGGCGGACGGGUGAGGAAUACAUCGGAAUCUACUUUUUCGUGGGGGAUAACGUAGGGAAACUUACGCUAAUACCGCAUACGACCUACGGGUGAAAGCAGGGGAUCUUCGGACCUUGCGCGAUUGAAUGAGCCGAUGUCGGAUUAGCUAGUUGGCGGGGUAAAGGCCCACCAAGGCGACGAUCCGUAGCUGGUCUGAGAGGAUGAGAGGACAAAGGGGAAGGGAGACAGGGACCAGACUCCGCAGGGAGGCAGAAGAGGGGAAAAUGGGACAAGGGGGGAAAGCAGGACCAACCAAAACGGCGGGGAGAAAAAAGGCUUUGGGGUGGAAAAGCCUUUUUGUGGGGAAAAAAAAGAAGAGGUUAAAAACCCGGAUGUUAGGACGGUACCAAAAAAAAAAGCACCGGCUAACUUGGUG
rnacentral:rRNA from 1 species